GACGAACGCUGGCGGCGUGCCUAAUACAUGCAAGUAGAACGCUGAAGAGAGGAGCUUGCUCUUCUUGGAUGAGUUGCGAACGGGUGAGUAACGCGUAGGUAACCUGCCUUGUAGCGGGGGAUAACUAUUGGAAACGAUAGCUAAUACCGCAUAACAAUGGAUGACACAUGUCAUUUAUUUGAAAGGGGCAAUUGCUCCACUACAAGAUGGACCUGCGUUGUAUUAGCUAGUAGGUGAGGUAAUGGCUCACCUAGGCGACGAUACAUAGCCGACCUGAGAGGGUGAUCGGCCACACUGGGACUGAGACACGGCCCAGACUCCUACGGGAGGCAGCAGUAGGGAAUCUUCGGCAAUGGGGGCAACCCUGACCGAGCAACGCCGCGUGAGUGAAGAAGGUUUUCGGAUCGUAAAGCUCUGUUGUAAGUCAAGAACGGGUGUGAGAGUGGAAAGUUCACGCUGUGACGGUAGCUUACCAGAAAGGGACGGCUAACUACGUG
rnacentral:rRNA from 1 species